rnacentral:rRNA from 1 species
AUUGAACGCUGGCGGCAGGCUUAACACAUGCAAGUCGAGCGGGGUGAUGGUGCUUGCACUAUCACUUAGCGGCGGACGGGUGAGUAAUGCUUAGGAAUCUGCCUAUUAGUGGGGGACAACAUCUCGAAAGGGAUGCUAAUACCGCAUACGUCCUACGGGAGAAAGCAGGGGAUCACUUGUGACCUUGCGCUAAUAGAUGAGCCUAAGUCGGAUUAGCUAGUUGGUGGGGUAAAGGCCUACCAAGGCGACGAUCUGUAGCGGGUCUGAGAGGAUGAUCCGCCACACUGGGACUGAGACACGGCCCAGACUCCUACGGGAGGCAGCAGAGGGGAAUAUUGGACAAUGGGGGGAACCCUGAUCCAGCCAUGCCGCGUGUAUGAAGAAGGCCUUAUGGUUGUAAAGCACUUUAAGCGAGGAGGAGGCUCUUUUGGUUAAUACCCAAGAUGAGUGGACGUUACUCGCAGAAUAAGCACCGGCUAACUCUGUGCCAGCCGCCGCAAUAA